CCAAAGGCUCUUUUAAGAGCCACCACAUGGCCGUUAAAGAGAGCUGU
rfam:Nipponia nippon contig29133, whole genome shotgun sequence.